GGCCCCGGGCCCGUCCGGGCUCCGGCUUCCGAGUUGCGACUCCAGCCCCAGCCCCAGCGCGCGAGGGCGCGUGCGCGCGGCGGCGGCGGCGGCGGCGGCGGCGGCGUGGGCUCGCCCGGCUCCUGGUCCCUCCCCCCCGCGCCGGGCACUUCCGGCCGCCGGGAUCCGCCGCCGGGUUUUGGGAGCCGCCGCGCGGCCGUGGGGAGGACGGGGCGCUCCCCUUCCCCGGGGUCCGCCCCUGCGCCCGGCGGCGAGCUUCGCCUCAAAAGCCCGCCGGGGAUGCCUCAGUCGGUGGACGAGGGGCGCGAAGGGCGGCAGCCGGUUCUCGGUGAUUCUCGGGGCCGUGCUGGGCUGGGAAGCCACCGCGCAACUUUUACUGAAGCUCCGUGGCGAGCUCCCACCUCCGCGAAGCGGCCCGAGGCAGCGGCGGACGGUGUCCCGCGGGAGCAGAGGCCACCCGGGACGGUCCUGGAUGGAGGACGCGGGCCUCAGGCCCGGGAGCGGGGGCGGCCGAAGCGCAGCUGAGGCGGCGUCCCGGGACCCCUGGUCGGCUACUGGCGCUGCCGCUGAGGCGCCGCCCGCACAGAGGAGACCGCCUCCCGGAGUGCAGAGAAAGCUAUGAGGAUGUUCUCUGCACACUGGACUCUCAUAAAUCUGCAGCUGCAUCCACCUCUCUGGUGGCUCCUCCACUCAAAGAGACAGAUCCAGUACUGCAUAUGGAUGCUUCAGUCUUACCCUGUCUGCUGGGACUGACCAGGGAUGACCACUUGUGUCUGAGCUUGGCAACACCUUGGGAAUUGAAUAUCUGCAGUAGUGUCCUCGCCUUCAUCUACCUCACAGCAUUUCAAUGCAGUUCACUUGCUGCACUAGGUAAGAUUCCUCCCUCACUUAUUUCCCUCUUUGUUCAGCCUUUGAAUGGACCUAUAAUUCAAGAAAUUGACAGGGAGCAUGAAAGGAUUGGAAAGGCAGCAGAUGGAGUGGAGGGAGGAGGGAAGCAGGAGUCUGGAAAUGGCCUGGAGGCAGCCACUACCUGGUGGCCUAAGCACACAGAUGCAUUGCCUGACUUUGAAGAAGUUUAUACACAUAUUCUCAUGAAUAUUCUCAUAUGA
rnacentral:lncRNA from 12 species